rnacentral:rRNA from 1 species
UACGUAGGGUGCGAGCGUUGUCCGGAAUUAUUGGGCGUAAAGGGCACGCAGGCGGUCCUGCACGUGGAUGGUGACAGCUCCUGGCUUAACUGGGAGAGUGCCUUCCAAACGACAAGACUUGAGAGCGAGAGAGGGAUACGGAACUCCAGGUGGAGCAGUGAAAUGCGUAGAGAUCUGGAAGAACACCAAAGGCGAAGGCAGUAUCCUGGCUCGUCUCUGACGCUCAGGUGCGAAAGCUAGGGGAGCAAACAGG